AACGCGCAGCAUCCUGUAGCAAUACAGGGUGUGGGCGCGUGGCGAACGGGUGCGUAACACGUGGAUAACCUUCCUUCAGGUGGGGAAUAACCCAGUGAAAAUUGGGCUAAUACCGCAUAACAUGACGAUGCCACAUGGUGUUGUCUUCAAAGCCGCAAGGCGCCAGAAGAGGGAUCCGCGGCCGAUUAGCUUGUUGGCGAGGUAAUGGCUCACCAAGGCUUUGAUCGGUAGCCGGACUGAGAGGUUGGCCGGCCACACUGGAACUGAGACACGGUCCAGACUCCUACGGGAGGCAGCAGUGGGGAAUCUUGCACAAUGGACGAAAGUCUGAUGCAGCAACGCCGCGUGGGGGAUGAAGCUUUUCGGAGUGUAAACCCCUUUCGACCCGGAAGAAUGCCCGCAAGGGUUUGACGGUACGGGUAUAAGAAGCCCCGGCUAACUACGUGCCAGCAGCCGCGGUAAUACGUAGGGGGCCAGCGUUGCUCGGAAUUACUGGGCGUAAAGGGUCCGUAGGCGGUGUGGCAAGUCGGGAGUGAAAUCUCUGGGCUUAACCCAGAGGCUGCUUCCGAAACUGCCAUGCUAGAGUGUGAGAGAAGCGAGUGGAAAUUAC
rnacentral:rRNA from 1 species